rnacentral:misc_RNA from 1 species
UGUAGGAGCUGCCGAAGGCUGCGAUCUUUUAAGAUCAAGAUCAAAAGAUCGCAGCCUUCGGCAGCUUCUACA